AACAAAUUCUUCUCUACCACUGGCGAGGACACUGGGAUUCUUUGAAGGAUGUUCUCCACUUUAGUAUCUUCACGGAGGCUGCUUUCUCCAAAUUUCUACUACCUAUACCAGUAGGCUUUGCAUCAAAUAGGGAUGAAUUGGAAUGUGCUCUAUGGGCCUUUUAGCCCCCAGGCAACAACCAUCAUCAAUCAGCUGCAGGAGACCGGGGAUUAGUAACAAAGAUCCAAAAGGCUCCAGGAAUGCCAAAGGAAGAUCCUUCCUGAGUUCUAGAGAAAGACCCUAACUCUGCUGGUCUUGAGGGCACCAGGCUAAGGAGAAGCCAAGAGCCCAGUCCUGAUGCAGCAGCCUCACCUCAGGCUCCCUCAAGGCAGCCCUUGAACACAAGAUUCCACGCAUAACCAGUAUGUCUCUGAAAUUUCCCUCUGGUGUCACAUUAAUUCUUGCCCUGAAAUAUUUUUCCCUCUGUGCUUUUAAAAAUGUAGUCUCUCUUGGCCCUCCCUG